GGGUCCGUAGCUCAGUCGGUAGAGCACCGGCCUUUUAAGCCGGGUGUCGAGGGUUCGAAUCCCUUCGGACUCG
rnacentral:tRNA from 2 species